rnacentral:rRNA from 1 species
UACGUAGGUGGCAAGCGUUGUCCGGAUUUACUGGGCGUAAAGGGCGUGCAGGCGGUUUGUUAAGUUCAGGGUGAAAGCUCCCGGCUCAACUGGGAGAGGUCCUUGGAUACUGGCAGACUUGAGGAGGGUAGAGGAGAGUGGAAUUCCCGGUGUAGUGGUGAUAUGCGUAGAUAUCGGGAGGAACACCAGUGGCGAAGGCGACUUCCUGGCCUGUUCUUGACGCUGAGGCGCGAAAGCUAGGGGAGCAAACGGG